GCACUUCUGGUUAACACAGGACAAUUAGCAGAUGGAGAGCAGUACAGAGAGAGAGAGCGAGAGAGCAUUUGGUCACACAGGACAUUUAGAGAUGAGAGAGGGAGAGAGAGGAGGAGUAGCACUUAUGGUACGCGGACAAUUAGCAAGAGCGCGAGAGCGAGGGAGAGAGAGGACUUCUGCGUCACACAGGACCACAUUAGCGAUGGAGCGAGAGAAGGCACUUCUGGUCACACAGGACAAUUAGAGAGAGAGAGAGAGCACUUCUGGUCACGCAGGACAAUUAGAGAGAGAGAGAGAGCACUUCUGGUCACACAGGACAAUUAUAGAGGAGAGAGAGAGCACUUCUGGUCACGCCGACCAAUUCGAUCGAGAGAGAGCGCACUUCUGGUCUACAUCAGGCCACUUCGAGAGGCGAGAGAGAGAGA
rnacentral:lncRNA from 1 species